CCUACUCCUCCCAUUCC
rnacentral:miRNA from 2 species